AAAUCACCUUAAGACACCAAAGCCAUAAUUCUGUCACCACACAAUCUUCAUAGAAAUGGGAAAAGACCUGGGAAGGAUUUUGGAUCCCAGGUAGCUUAUUUAUUCCUGAUGAAUACCUUUGAGAUUAAAACAAAAUAGAAAUGAAAGUAACUGGGAUUUGAUAGUAGUACACUAUGACAACAGGAGGUGAGUAGACUGGAAUGAAAAUGAACCACUCAACCACAGAGAUGCAGUCAAUAAUUAUGAUGCUCAGAUUGCUUUGUUUUUCAAAAACCAUGAGCAAACCACUUAAUCUCUGAGUCUCAGUUCCUUCAUCUAAAUUGCAGAAUUAGACAAAGUGACCCUUCCAGCUCUGAUAUUCUGUGACAUCAAAACUUAGAUACCAGAAUAUUGCAGCAUAGGUCCCACAUCCCAUCCCAUGUCUCAGAAUGCCAAGAAACUGGUCUUGCAAGUAUUAAAUUUUCGGUGCAUGUAUAUAAAUAGGUGGAGAGAUGGCUAUCUUAGUUUUCCAUCUUCAGGCAUGACAUACAUACCCCUGGCUUAGAAACUCCCUGGGAGAUCAGAGCACUUGGUUCACAAAAUGAAAUAAUCAGACAUGAAAGUGCACCAGUUCCUUUCAUUGUUUUGUUGAGUUUUGAUCAUCCUUGUUACUCAGUGGUUGUCUACUUUAACGGAAGGAUGAAUAUAAGUGCUCUGAAAACAAGCACUUUAAAUGCAAAUAUUUGGAUAUUAUGCUCUAGCUCACAUAGGAAUGUAAGUUAAAUUCAUAUUCUUUCGGAAAUGCCUGUCUGCAGUUGUGAAAUUGAGUCCACUAGCCCAGCUCAAUGUGGCGUUUCUGCCAGAAAGAGCACUGGUCUAGGAGUCAGAAGACUACUAGCUCCAGUUCUGCCUCUGCCUAGAUUUGAACCUCUCAAGUUAUUUGAGGUCUUAUGGUUUGAAUCUCUACGAAGCCUGGGUUCCAUUAGAUGGUCUUCUGAGCCCCUUUGUUGACUCUCAAAUUGUGAUUCUCCAAAAUGCCCAGAACUCUGUUAGCCCUAUCCAAAAAUAUAUGUGUGGCCUUGCUACUUAAUUGCAACCUUGGUGCUGGACAGAAGAGAAAAGCAGCUUCAAAGACUACAUUUCUGAAUAAGAGAGAAGAUCCUGCACUAAUGAAAGAAGGCUUGAGGUAUCCUUUGCCUGAAUCUCUUUAGACUUUACCCCAGAGAAUAGGCUUGGAGUCAGAACUCCCAUCAGCAACAUGUCCAGAGAAACUAUGAGCUAAGUAUUUAAUACAGCUCCCAGGGGCAGGCUGACCCCGCAGGGCUCAAAACAUGGAAUAAGGGAGCAGGCUGUAGGACACACAAGGAGCUCUCCUAUUUGUUGAAUGAAGAUGGCCAUAGAAUGAACAAGAUAAGAGCAGGUAGGUUUGUUAAACUCAACAGUCAAGGUGAAAUGAAGGGCCAACGCUUGUCUUUAUAAGCAAAUCUUUUUCCCAGGCUCCAAGUACCCCCUUAAGCCACUGAAGAGUGAUAUAUUCUGCAACAUGAGCAAGGAUUUCAUGAAUUUUAGGCAGUGAAGGGAUUUUUGGAACUGCCAACUAAAUAUGUCUGACUUCAUUACACUCCAUCCCUCUGCUAUGUCCGACCUGUGUAACACUCCUCUCAUCCCCCUAAUUCAUGACCUUGGCAGAAAAUGUCCUCUUGACUAUAUAAAACAAGCUAAAGGAAACACUGAACACCACAAGAUGUACCACAUCUGUGCAGGUCUUUUAGCUAAAGGGGCAGAGAGAAGCAUCACUGGCUACUGAAAACCGAACAACACAGAGAACACAACUGUAUUGUGGGAAAUUGGACUACUCUGAAAAUGUCUGCUUGUUUUUGGAGAAUAUCUACAGCAGAAGAAAUUUGCACAGCAGUCACUCGGUCCACAUUUACUCUUCAGGAUGUUGUGGAAUGUACCCCCAGGUUGCUUUUGGAGUGCAAAUAAAAUGUAGCUCAACCCCACCUCAGCCACAGUGGCUCUGCUGACUUACUGGGAAAAACACUCAAACUUCCAUGGGCAUCCCUUUCCUCAUCAGUGAAGUGAGAAGAGGCUGAGGCACCUCAGGGGCCUUCCAACUCUGAUAGUCCUUGAUUGCAAGUGUACUACGUAAUACUUUUUGUAAUGAAGAGGGUAAUUAAUGCAUUGAUAAUGAUAAUUCAUUGUAGAAUAUGGUAAUAGAAUAGAGAAUCUUACUAUGUUGGACAGAAUUUUUUAUACAACUAAAAAUGGAGGAAUGGACAUCUUCUCCCAGCAUAGAACUGCAGUGACACCCACGUAGUACCGGCUCUAGUGGUGCUCAAGCCCGGGUUUAUGUAUGUUGUUGGGGUUGAGGUCGGAGGGUGGGUUAGACAUGAAUAACUUAUGGCAGCGAUUACUGCAAGUUUCUUAAGGGCCCCAGAGGUAUAAUAAUAACAUAAUAAUUAUGAGAAUAUCCAGCGUCUUUCUAAAACUCAUCAUGUGCCAUUUAAUCCACACCUUAAGAUACAUGUGAAAAUGCAGUUUUGUAAUAUCUAGUUCGCAGAGUAAGACACUGAGAACCAGGAAGGUUUGGUGAAUUGCCCAGGGUCACAGCACUAGUAAAUGGAUGAGCCAAUGCUCC
rnacentral:lncRNA from 1 species